rnacentral:rRNA from 1 species
CACAGAGGUCUCAAGCGUUGUUCGGAUUCAUUGGGCGUAAAGGGUGCGUAGGCGGCGCGGUAAGUCGGGUGUGAAAUCUCGGAGCUUAACUCCGAAACUGCAUUCGAUACUGCCGUGCUUGAGGACUGGAGAGGAGACUGGAAUUCACGGUGUAGCAGUGAAAUGCGUAGAUAUCGUGAGGAAGACCAGUGGCGAAGGCGGGUCUCUGGACAGUUCCUGACACUGAGGCACGAAGGCCAGGGGAGCAAACGGG